ACCUGGCUGGCUCAGUCAAUGGAGCAUGAGACUCUCAAUCUCGGGUUGUGAGUUUGAGCCCCAUGUUGAGUG
rnacentral:tRNA from 1 species